AUUGAACGCUGGCGGCAUGCCUAACACAUGCAAGUCGAGCGAGCGGCGGACGGGUGAGUAAUGUCUGGGAAACUGCCUGAUGGAGGGGGAUAACUACUGGAAACGGUAGCUAAUCCCGCCUACCAUCAGAUGUGCCCAGAUUGGAUUAGAUAGUAGGUGGGGUAAUGGCGCACCUAGGCGACGAUCCCUAGCUGGUCUGAGAGGAUGACCAGCCAAACUGGAACUGAGACACGGUCCAGACUCCUACGGGAGGCAGCAGUGGGGAAUAUUGCACAAUGGGCGCAAGCCUGAUGCAGCCAUGCCGCGUGUGUGAAGAAGGCCUUCGGGUUGUAAAGCACUUUCAGCGGGGAGGCGUUACCCGCAGAAGAAGCACCGGCUAACUCCGUGCCAGCAGCCGCGGUAAUUC
rnacentral:rRNA from 1 species